CUUAAGCAUAUCAAUAAGCGGAGGAAAAGAAACCAACAGGGAUUACCUCAGUAACGGCGAGUGAAGCGGUAACAGCUCAAAUUUGAAAUCUGGCUCUUUUAGGGUCCGAGUUGUAAUUUGUAGAAGAUGCUUUGGGUGCGGCUCCGGUCUAAGUUCCUUGGAACAGGACGUCAUAGAGGGUGAGAAUCCCGUAUGUGACUGGCUGCCUGCGCCCGUGUAAAGCUCUUUCGACGAGUCGAGUUGUUUGGGAAUGCAGCUCAAAAUGGGUGGUAAAUUUCAUCUAAAGCUAAAUAUUGGCCAGAGACCGAUAGCGCACAAGUAGAGUGAUCGAAAGAUGAAAAGCACUUUGGAAAGAGAGUUAAACAGUACGUGAAAUUGUUGAAAGGGAAGCGCUUGCAACCAGACUCGCAGGGCGUCGAUCAUCCGGGGUUCUCCCCGGUGCACUCGGCGCCUUUCGGGCCAGCAUCGGUUCUGGUGGUGGGAUAAAGGCCUUGGGAAUGUAGCUUCUUUCGGGGAGUGUUAUAGCCCUCGGUGCAAUGCCGCCUACCGGGACCGAGGACCGCGCUUCGGCUAGGAUGCUGGCGUAAUGGUUGUAAGCGACCCGUCUUGAAACACGGACCAAGGAGUCUAACAUCUAUGCGAGUAUUUGGGUGUCAAACCCAUAUGCGUAAUGAAAGUGAACGGAGGUGAGAACCCUUUAGGGUGCAUCAUCGACCGAUCCUGAUGUCUUCGGAAGGAUUUGAGUAAGAGCAUAGCUGUUGGGACCCGAAAGAUGGUGAACUAUGCCUAAAUAGGGUGAAGCCAGAGGAAACUCUGGUGGAGGCUCGCAGCGGUUCUGACGUGCAAAUCGAUCGUCAAAUUUGGGUAUAGGGGCGAAAGACUAAUCGAACCAUCUAGUAGCUGGUUCCUGCCGAAGUUUCCCUCAGGA
rnacentral:rRNA from 1 species